rnacentral:lncRNA from 1 species
AUGAUCCAUGUGCCUCCUAUAAAGGGAGGGGUCUGUCACAAGUGUUACGGAUUGAAUGCUACGUUUAUCUUCCAACAUAGGAAGCCUGCCAGCAGACAGCCAUGGUCUAGCUCAUGCCAACCCUGUGCUAAAGGCUGUGUGUCCUUGGAGGUGUUUGAUUUAGUAUGAUGCAGUGUUAAUGAAGUAAAUGGAAGACUUACAGUAAGUACUACGAGAGUUGAGGGAAAGUACCGGGUAAUACGGUAAGUACUGCAUGCAUUUGGUGAGCAUUACAGCAGGUAAUUGAGGUAGCCUUGUUAACAGGCUAAUGUAGCGUACAGGAAUACAGUCAUUUAGGUGGGUUUUGUUUUUGAUAAUUUGACCUUGGUAUGUUAAUCUUUCUUAAUACCUUUUUUUCCCCCAAAUGUUAAGCAAAAAUUGCAUCUUAGUACCAAGUGAAUCUGUUCAGUGGUGAUUGGUCAGACUCACUGCCACAGUGCAGCCCUGAUCUUCCUGUUUAUAUAGGAAGUAGAAGUGUUGGACUGCUUUAAAAUGAUGAAAUGUUAGAAAAUGAAAAUCCCUCAAUAACAUAUUUUAUUCAUCUUAAAGACAUUCGGUCUUGCUCAUUUUUAAAAACCUACUGUAACAUUUUAAACAUAGGUUUGUCUUUAAAAGGAUGUCAUUCACAAGUAAUUUUCAUUUUUGGAUAGGGCUAUUACUUUGAUUUCAUUUGGUUUAUAAAAAAAUUAAGGGACAGCAAUACAUUUAGAAGCCAUAUAAUUCAGCCUUAGAUUACAGGGUUCUUGCACACAUUCAGUUCUGGGUAAUGAUAGAGUCUAGCAAAAGGAAGCACUGAUUGACCUUAGGGAAAACUAGCUGAAGAAUGGGAGAAUCAAACUUUGAUAAUUCAACGACGUUGUGCUGAAGCCACUUAAUACACAUUUUGCAACAGGAUUAUUUAAACAACUGUCAAUGACAACUGUAACCUUUCUCGCUUAAGAAAACAGUGUUAGCUAACCACAGCCCAUGCUGCUGGGAUGCUAAAGACAACUCUGAUAUUAAUAAGUAACAUCUACACAUUAACCCUCUUGGAACAGGGUCUUAAGUGCUGCUGACGCCAUUCUUUCCGAAACUCAUCAAAUAAUUGGGAGAAGUCUGAGGAAAUCAAUCCCUAUUAAAUAGUUAACCAUAGGCAUAUUUGUCUUAGCAAACAAAAUGCUUUCAAAAUGUUCCACUUUUGAAAUUGCUUAAAUCUUUUAUGUUGACCCAGUGACUUUGUUUGCAAAGGUUAACUGAAGUGGAGUUAAGCAAUUGUUUUGCACAUUUGAACACUGUAAAUGAUCGUACAGGCUAAAAUGAAUAAAGUGAAUUUUUAAAGUUAAUGAACA